UACGUAGGGGGCAAGCGUUGUCCGGAUUUAUUGGGCGUAAAGCGCGUGUAGGUGGCCAAGUAGGUCCGCUGUGAAAACUUGAGGCUCAACCUCAAGCUGUCGGUGGAAACCCCUUGGCUAGAGUCCGGAAGAGGAGAGUGGAAUUCCUGGUGUAGCGGUGAAAUGCGCAGAUAUCAGGAAGAACACCAGUGGCGAAGGCAGCUCUCUGGGACGGUACUGACACUGAGACGCGAAAGCGUGGGGAGCGAACAGG
rnacentral:rRNA from 1 species